GACGAACGCUGGCGGCGUGCUUAACACAUGCAAGUCGAACGGAAAGGCCCUGCUUUUGUGGGGUGCUCGAGUGGCGAACGGGUGAGUAACACGUGAGUAACCUGCCCUUGACUUUGGGAUAACUUCAGGAAGCUGGGGCUAAUACCGGAUAGGAGCUCCUACUGCAUGGUGGGGGUUGAAAAGUUUCGGCGGUUGGGGAUGGACUCGCGGCUUAUCAGCUUGUUGGUGGGGUAGUGGCUUACCAAGGCUUUGACGGGUAGCCGGCCUGAGAGGGUGACCGGCCACAUUGGGACUGAGAUACGGCCCAGACUCCUACGGGAGGCAGCAGUGGGGAAUAUUGCACAAUGGGCGGAAGCCUGAUGCAGCAACGCCGCGUGCGGGAUGACGGCCUUCGGGUUGUAAACCGCUUUCGCCUGUGACGAAGCGUGAGUGACGGUAAUGGGUAAAGAAGCACCGGCUAACUACGUG
rnacentral:rRNA from 1 species